rnacentral:rRNA from 1 species
AUGUCACUCUUACAUGUUCAGCCUAAUGUGACUUUCUUACAUGUUCAGUUGCAGAGAACAAAGCCAUGUUCGCUGUGGAGGGAGCCAACGUGGAACCCCCUCCUCCCCGGGUAUACCCCUCUCGCAGAGAGCGUAGGUCGAAAAACAAAAAAGCAUACAGAGAUCGGGCAGCAGGGCGUAAGCUACCUGGUGCUGCCCAGGCCGUCGCCCCAGCCGGCGCCCAGGCCAUCGCCCCAGCCAACGCCCCAGCCAACGCCCAGGCCAUCGCCCCACCCGUCGUCCAGGCCCCGCCCGUCGCCCCACCCGUCGCCCCAGCUGACGCCCAGGCCAUCGCCCCACCUAUCGCCCAGGCCAUCGCCCCACCCGUCGUCCAGGCCCCACCCGUUGCUGCUCCAGAGAUGGGUGGGUUCAUUCCAGAUGUCCCUCUGUUUGGCCCUCAGGGCAGCAACUAGGGGUUCUAUCUGUCUAUAG